rnacentral:rRNA from 1 species
AACGAACGCUGGCGGCGGGCCUAAUACAUGCAAGUCGACCUUAGUGGCGAACGGGUGAGUACAACGUGCGUAACCUGCCCAUAUAAAGGGGAUAACACUUGGAAACAGGUGCUAAUCCCCAAUACUGAUGGAUGUACCCGCGGUGCCUUAGCUAGUUGGAGAGGUAACGGCUCACCAAGGCCAAGAUGCAUAGGCGGGCUGAGAGGGUGACCGGCAAGAUUGGAACUGAGACACGGCCCAAACUCCGACGGGAGGCAGCAGUUGGGAAUCUUGGGCAAUGGACGAAAGUCUGACCCAGCAACGCCGCGUGAGUGAAGAAGGCUUUCGGAUUGUAAACCUCUUUUGUUAGAGAAGCGGUAUCUAACCAGAAAGCCACGGCUAACUACGUGCCAGCGGCCGCGGUAAGAC